UUCAACUACAGUGAAAAAACUCAGCAAUAAGUCCCACAAAAAGUUAUUGUUUAUGUUACCUUGUUGUUUUCGCUAUUCUGGCCAGCUUCCUUGAUCUCUGCUUUCCUUCUUCGAAUAACAGAGUAUGUAAAAUCAUCAAUGAUUUUAAUGCUUUUGUCAAGUAAAGCUUCUGAUCCCACAUUUAAAUAUCUCUUUAUUCUCCACAAUGGAUCAAUGAACCGAAGUGUCACAAUAAUGUUUGCAGUGUCAAAGGCCUUGGCAAAGUGAUUAUCUGGUAGAUUGGGAGCCAGAGUUCCAAUUUCUACACCAAAUCCCACCUUACAUAUGGAGUCCAAAGUCAUCCUCAUCAGCAGUUCCUGCACAAAAUAUUAUAUUCAGAGCUCCAUUUAUAGAA
rnacentral:lncRNA from 1 species